AGCCGCGGUAAUUCCAGCUCCAAUAGCGUAUACUAAAGUUGUUGCGGUUAAAAAGCUCGUAGUUGGAUCUUGGAAUGUGUUCAAGCGGGUCAGCUUCUGGCUGUGCGCUGCUUGACGUGUUCUUCUAUUUGGUUUUGGUGCGGUGCGCUUAACUGCGUGUCGCUCCCGGCCGAAACGUUUACCUUGAAAAAAUUAGAGUGUUCAAAGCAGACCUGUUUGAGUCUGAAUAUUCGUGCAUGGAAUAAUGAAAUAUGAAUUCGGUUCUAUUUUGUUGGUUUUCGGAACUCGAGUUAAUGAUCAAGAGGGACAGACGGGGGCAUUCGUACUCUGCCGUUAGAGGUGAAAUUCUUGGAUCGGCGGAAGACGCGCAACUGCGAAAGCAUUUGCCAAGAAUGUUUUCUUUAAUCAAGAACGAUAGUCGGAGGUUCGAAGACGAUCAGAUACCGUCCUAGUUUCGACUGUAAACUAUGCCAGCUAACGAUCAGACAGAGUUCUCUACGACUUGUCUGGCAGUUUCCGGGAAACCAAAGCGUUUGGGUUCCGGGGGAAGUAUGGUUGCAAAGCUGAAACUUAAAGGAAUUGACGGAAGGGCACCACCAGGAGUGGAGCCUGCGGCUUAAUUUGACUCAACACGGGGAAACUCACCCGGCCCGGACACAGUGAGGAUUGACAGAUUGAGAGUUCUUUCUUGAUUCUGUGGGUGGUGGUGCAUGGCCGUUCUUAGUUGGUGGAGCGAUUUGUCUGGUUAAUUCCGAUAACGAACGAGACUCUGGCAUGUUAAAUAGUCGCGGAAGUGCGUAUGCACUUGCCGAAUUGACUUCUUAGAGGGACUAGUGAUUUUAAUUCACACGAGAUGGAGCAAUAACAGGUCUGUGAUGC
rnacentral:rRNA from 1 species